rnacentral:rRNA from 1 species
AAAGGUUAAGCCAUGCAUGUCUAUGUACUAACUUAAAUAAAGUGAAACCGCAAAAGGCUCAGUACAACAGCUGCAAUUCCUUAGAUCAUACCCUAGUUACUUGGAUAACUGUGGAAAAUCUAGAGCUAAUACAUGCAUUAAUGCACGGACCGCAAGGAACGUGUGCAGUUAUUAAACAAACCGAUCGUUUUUUAAACGCAUUAGUUGAAUUCUAGAUAACUUUGCUAAUCGCAUGGUCUUGUACCGGCGAUAGAUCUUUCAAACGUCUGCCCUAUCAGCUAUUGAUGGUAGUAUAGAGGACUACCAUGGCUACAACGGGUGACGGGGAAUCAGGGUUCGAUUCCGGAGAGGGAGCCUGAGAAACGGCUCCCAUUUCUAAGGAAAGCAGCAGGCGCGAAAAUUACUCAAUGCCAGAAUGGCGAAGUAGUGACGAAAAAUAACAUUGCAGAACUCGUUUAUGAGUUUCUGUAAAUGGAAUAUAUUAACCAUAAAUCCUUUAUUAAGGAGUAAGUGGAGGGCAAGUCUGGUGCCAGCAGCCGCGGUAAUUCCAGCUCCACUAGCGUAUAUUAAAGUUGUUGCGGUUAAAACGUUCGAAGUUUAUCUUUGUCCAGCACGGGUGCUACACCUAAAAUAUUGGUUGUAGGUCACUGGAUUGCUUUGGACUAUAAGUCUUGGUAUUCAAUUGUAACACAUACCUUUAAUCGGGUCAAUGGUUGCAAGCCAAGCUGCAAUUACCAUUCAUAAAUUAGAGUGCUCAAAGCAGGCUAAUAUAGCUCUGUAUAAUUUUGCAUGGAAUAAUGAAAUAGGCCUUUGGUCUUAUAUUUCAUUGGUUUUCUGACCAAAAGGAAUGAUUAAUAGAAGCAGUUGGGGGCAUUAGUAUAGUGACGCGAGGGGUGAAAUCCUAAGACCGUCGCUAGACUUCCUGAAGCGAAAGCAUUUGCCAAAGAUGUUUUCAUUAAUUAAGAACUAAAGUCAGAGGAUCGAAGGCGAUUAGAUACCGCCCUAGUUCUGACCGUAAACUAUGUCGACUAGCAAUUGGAUGUCGCUACUAUAUGGUGCUUCCAAAAGCUUUCCGGGAAACCAAAGUCAUAUUCCGGGGAAAGUAUAGUUGCAAAAUUGAAAUUUAAAGGAAUUGACGGAAGGGCACCACCAGGAGUGGAGCCUGCGGCUUAAUUUGACUCAACACGGGAAAACUUACCAGGUCCGAACUUAAUUGAGUAAGACAGAUUAAUAGCUCUUUCUCGAAAUUAAGGGUAGUGGUGCAUGGCCGUUCUUAGUUCGUGGAAUGAUUUGUCUGGUUAAUUCCGAUAACGAACGUGACUCAAUCAAACUAACUAGAUUGCCAUCUCAGUGAAACGUUGAAACUAAUGUUAUGAUAACUCCGGUUGUUGUAAUGUUUGUGGAGUGUCACCUGAUGGUUUGGACUUCCUUUUAUUAAUUUAUUUGGUUGGACUGCCUACUUAGUAGGACAAUUUGUGUUUAGCAAAAUGAGAUUGAGCAAUAACAGGUCCGUGAUGCCCUUAGAUGUCCUGGGCUGCACGCGCGCUACAAUGUAGGCAUCAACGUGUAUCCUAGUUCGAAAGAACCGGGAAAUCACUCAAAAGCCUACUUAGUUGGGAUUGUGGACUGAAACUGUUCACAUGAACCUGGAAUUCCCAGUAAGUGCUAGUCACUAGCUAGCGUUGAUUACGUCCCUGCCCUUUGUACACACCGCCCGUCGCUACUACUGAUGGAUUAUUUAGUGAGGUUUUCGGAGAUGAUAGCUAGCGAUACUUCCGUGUUGCAGCAUUUUCAUUGAAGUUAACCGAACUUGACAAUCUAAAAGAAGUAAAAGUCGUAACAAGGUUUCCGUAGGUGAACCUGCGGAAGGAUCAUUA